rnacentral:rRNA from 1 species
GGGUCGCGUCCUAUCAGCUUGUUGGUGGGGUAACGGCCUACCAAGGCGUUGACGGGUAGCCGGCCUGAGAGGGCGACCGGCCACAUUGGGACUGAGAUACGGCCCAGACUCCUACGGGAGGCAGCAGUGGGGAAUAUUGCACAAUGGGCGCAAGCCUGAUGCAGCGACGCCGCGUGCGGGAUGGAGGCCUUCGGGUUGUAAACCGCUUUUGUUCAAGGGCAAGGCAGGCUUUCGGGCCUGUUGAGUGGAUUGUUCGAAUAAGCACCGGCUAACUACGUGCCAGCAGCCGCGGUAAUACGUAGGGUGCAAGCGUUAUCCGGAUUUAUUGGGCGUAAAGGGCUCGUAGGCGGUUCGUCGCGUCCGGUGUGAAAGUCCAUCGCUUAACGGUGGAUCCGCGCCGGGUACGGGCGGGCUUGAGUGCGGUAGGGGAGACUGGAAUUCCCGGGGUAACGGUGG